rnacentral:rRNA from 1 species
ACAAACGCUGGCGGCGUGCCUAACACAUGCAAGUCGAGCGAUCGGCUCGGGAGGGGUAACCCUCCCGGGUACGGAGCGGCGAAACGGGUGAGUAACACGUGGGCAACCUGCCCCAGGCUCUGGAACAACCCCGGGAAACCGGGGCUGAUGCCGGAUACUCUCGAGCACUCGCACGGGGAGCUCGAGGAAAGUUCCGACGGCCUGGGAUGGGCCCGCGGCCUAUCAGCUAGUUGGUGGGGGUAACGGCCCACCAAGGCGACGGACGGGUAGCUGGCGUGAGAGCGGUGGCAGCCACACUGGGACUGAGACACGGCCCAGACUCCUACGGGAGGCAGCAGUGGGGAAUCUUGCACAAUGGGCGGAAAGCCUGAUGCAGCGACGCCGCGUGGGGGAUGAAGGCCCCUCGGGUUUGUAAACCCCUUUCGGCAGGGAAAGAAGCCGCAAGGUGACGGUACCUGCAGAAGAAGCCCCGGCCAACUAACGUGCCAGCAGCCGCUGGUAAGACGUAGGGGGCGAGCGUUGUCCGGAUUCACUGGGCGUAAAGCGCGCGUAGGCGGCUCGUUAAGUCGGAUUGUGAAAACCGGGGCUCAACCCCGGGCCUGCACCCGAUACUGGCGGGCUGGAGGCAGGUAGGGGAGAUCGGAAUUCCCGGUAGUAGCGGUGGAAAUGCGCAGAUAUCGGGAGGAACACCGGUGGCGAAGGCGGAUCUCUGGGCCUGUCCUGACGCUCAGGCGCGAAAGCUAGGGGAGCAAACAGGAUUAGAUACCCUGGUACGUCCUAGCUGUAAAACGUUGGGUGCUAGGUGUGGGCCGGCGAUCGACCCGGUCUGUGCCGAAGCUAACGCAUUAAGCACCCCGCUCUGGGGGUAGUACGGCCGCAAGGCUAAAAACUCAAAGGAAUUGACCGGGAGCCCGCACAAGCGGCGGCAGCAUGUGGCUUAAUUCGACGCGACGCGAAGAGACCCUUACCAGGGCUUGACAUGCGGGGUGAAGCCGGCGAUAGCCGGUCCUCCUUCGGGAGCCCGCACAGGUGUUGACAUGGCCGUCGUCAGCUCGUGCCGUGAGGUGUUGCCUUAAGUGGCGCAACGAGCGCAACCCCUUGUCCCAUGUUGCCCAGCCCCGGGUGAUGCCGGGGACUCAUGGGAGACUGCCGGUGCCAAACCGGAGGAAGGUGGGGAAUGAGGUCAGGUCAUCAUGACCCUUAUGUCCUGGGCUGCACACUUGCUACAAUGCUUGCUACAAAGGGUAGCAAUCCGCAAGGGGGAGCGAAUCCCAAAAAAGCAAGCUCAGUUCGGACGAGGUCUGCAAACUCGACCUCGUGAUGAAGCCGGAGUCGCUAGUAAUCGCAGAUCAGCAACGCUGCGGUGAAUACGUUCCCGGCCUUGUACACACCGCCCGUCACAUCACGAAAGUGGGUUGUACUAGAAGCGCCAGCGCUAACCCGAGCAAUCGGGGGCAUGGUGUAACGGUAUGAUCCAUGAUUGGGGUG